AACGAACGCUGGCGGCAGGCCUAAAACAUGCAAGUCGAACGCCCCGCAAGGGGAGUGGCGCACGGGUGAGUAACGCGUGGGAACGUGCCCUUCACUACGGGACAACGUCGGGAAACUGGCGCUAAUACCGUAUAAUGACUCCGGUCCAAAGAUUUAUCGGUGAAGGAGCGGCCCGCGUCUGAUUAGUUUGUUGGUGGGGUAAUGGCCUACCAAGACUACGAUCAGUAGCAGGUCUGAGAGGAUGAUCUGCCACACUGGGACUGAGACACGGCCCAGACUCCUACGGGAGGCAGCAGUUAGGAAUAUUGGACAAUGGGCGAAAGCCUGAUCCAGCCAUGCCGCGAGUGUGAUGAAGGCCUUAGGGUUGUAAAGCACUUUCGUUGGGGAUGAUAAUGACCGUACCCAAAGAAGAAGCACCGGCUAACUUCGUGCCAGCCGCCGCCGUAA
rnacentral:rRNA from 1 species